rnacentral:piRNA from 1 species
UGGUGUCAGCAGUAUUAACUUGAUUGGCCA